rnacentral:tRNA from 1 species
GGAAGGGUGACUGAGUGGCCUAAAGUACCGGUCUUGAAAACCGGCGAGUGUAAAAGCUCCGUGGGUUCAAAUCCCACCCCUUCCG